AUUGAACGCUGGCGGCAGGCUUAACACAUGCAAGUCGAGCGAGCGGCGGACGGGUGAGUAAUGUCUGGGAAACUGCCUGAUGGAGGGGGAUAACUACUGGAAACGGUAGCUAAUACCGCAUACCAUCAGAUGUACCCAUAUGGGAUUAGCUAGUAGGUGGGGUAAUGGCUCACCUAGGCGACGAUCCCUAGCUGGUCUGAGAGGAUGACCAGCCACACUGGAACUGAGACACGGCCCAGACUCCUACGGGAGGCAGCAGUGGGGAAUAUUGCACAAUGGGCGCAAGCCUGAUGCAGCCAUGCCGCGUGUGUGAAGAAGGCCUUCGGGUUGUAAAGUACUUUCAGCGGGGAGGCGUUACUCGCAGAAGAAGCACCGGCUAACUCCGUGCCAGCAGCCGCGGUAAUAC
rnacentral:rRNA from 1 species